rnacentral:antisense_RNA from 1 species
CUUGAGCGAGCCGAGCCAGAGCGGUCGCUCGGCGGUGCGGGCCUCGCCGUAGGUCGCCAGCAGCGCCUGCGCCUC